UACGGGGGGAGCAAGCGUUGUUCGGAUUUACUGGGCGUAAAGGGCGCGUAGGCGGCCUGUCAAGUCAAUUGUGAAAUCUCCGGGCUUAACUCGGAACGGUCAAUUGAUACUGUCAGGCUAGAGUGCAGAAGGGGCAAUCGGAAUUCUUGGUGUAGCGGUGAAAUGCGUAGAUAUCAAGAGGAACACCUGAGGUGAAGACGGGUUGCUGGGCUGACACUGACGCUGAGGCGCGAAAGCCAGGGGAGCAAACGGG
rnacentral:rRNA from 1 species